UAAUCCUACGGGAGGCAGCAGUGGGGAAUAUUGCACAAUGGGGGAAACCCUGAUGCAGCAACGCCGCGUGAGGGAUGACGGCCCUACGGGUUGUAAACCUCUUUUGUCGGGGAGCAAGACCCGCCUCGUGCAGGCGGAGCGAGAGUACCCGAAGAAAAAGCAUCGGCUAACUCCGUGCCAGCAGCCGCGGUAAUACGGAGGAUGCGAGCGUUAUCCGGAUUUAUUGGGUUUAAAGGGUGCGCAGGCGGACCAUCAAGUCAGCGGUAAAAUCGUGGGGCCCAACCCCAUCCCGCCGUUGAAACUGG
rnacentral:rRNA from 1 species